rnacentral:rRNA from 1 species
CCAGUUUGGGGGCUAGGUGUGGGGGACAUUCCACGUUUUCCGCGCCGUAGCUAACGCAUUAAGUGCCCCGCCUGGGGAGUACGGCCGCAAGGCUAAAACUCAAAGGAAUUGACGGGGGCCCGCACAAGCGGCGGAGCAUGCUGAUUAAUUCGAUGCAACGCGAAGAACCUUACCAAGGCUUGACAUGCACUGGACGGCUGCAGAGAUGUGGCUUUCUUUGGACUGGUGCACAGGUGGUGCAUGGUUGUCGUCAGCUCGUGUCGUGAGAUGUUGGGUUAAGUCCCGCAACGAGCGCAACCCUCGUUCUAUGUUGCCAGCACGUGAUGGUGGGGACUCAUAGGAGACUGCCGGGGUCAACUCGGAGGAAGGUGGGGACGACGUCAAAUCAUCAUGCCCCUUAUGUCUUGGGCUUCAAGCAUGCUACAAUGGUCGGUACAAUGGGUUGCGAAACUGUGAGGUGGAGCGAAUCCCAAAAAGCCGGCCUCAGUUCGGAUUGGGGUCUGCAACUCGACCCCAUGAAGUCGGAGUCGCUAGUAAUCGCAGAUCAGCAACGCUGCGGUGAAUACGUUCCCGGGCCUUGUACACACCGCCCGUCAAGUCACGAAAGUCGGUAACACCCGAAGCCAGUGGCCCAUCCUCGUGAGGGAGCUGUCGAAGGUGGGAUCGGUGAUUGGGACUAAG